rnacentral:rRNA from 1 species
CUCCUACGGGAGGCAGCAGUAAGGAAUAUUGGUCAAUGGACGCAAGUCUGAACCAGCCAUGCCGCGUGCAGGAUGAAGGUUCUAUGGAUUGUAAACUGCUUUUGUACGGGUAAAAAAUCCCUAGGUUUCUACCGGGGUUGAUGGUACCGUAAGAAUAAGGAUCGGCUAACUCCGUGCCAGCAGCCGCGGUAAUAC